rnacentral:rRNA from 1 species
CCUACGGGAGGCAGCAGUGGGGAAUAUUGGACAAUGGGGGAAACCCUGAUCCAGCGACGCCGCGUGAGUGAAGAAGUAUUUCGGUACGUAAAGCUCUAUCAGCAGGAAAGAAAAUGACGGUACCUGACUAACAAGCCCCGGCUAACUACGUGCCAGCAGCCGCGGUAAUACGUAGGGGGCAAGCGUUAUCCGGAUUUACUGGGUGGAAAGGGAGCGGAGACGGCAGCGCAAGUCUGGGGUGAAAUGCCGGGGCCCAACCCCGGAACUGCUCUUGAAACUGGGAAGCUGGAGUGCAGGAGAGGUAAGCGGAAUUCCUGGUGUAGCGGUGAAAUGCGUAGAUAUCAGGAGGAACACCGGCGGCGAAGGCGGCUUACUGGACUGUAACUGACGUUGAGGCUCGAAGGCGUGGGGAGCAAACAGGAUUAGAUACCCUAGUAGUC